rnacentral:misc_RNA from 1 species
UCCGGUUUGGCACCGGCAGUCUCCGAUGAGUCCCCGACAUAACUCGCUGGCAACAUCGGACAGGGGUUGCGCUCGUUGCGCCACUUAAGGCAACACCUCACGGCACGAGCUGACGACAGCCAUGCAGCACCUGUGCGGGCUCCCGAAGGAGGACCGUGUUUCCACGGCUUCACCCCGCAUGUCAAGCCCUGGUAAGGUUCUUCGCGUUGCGUCGAAUUAAGCCACAUGCUCCGCCGCUUGUGCGGGCCCCCGUCAAUUCCUUUGAGUUUCAGUCUUGCGACCGUACUCCCCAGGCGGGAUGCUUAAGGCGUUAGCGACGGCACCCGGGGACUAUGUAACCCCUCCGACAUCC